rnacentral:tRNA from 1 species
GGGCGGGUGGUGAAAUGGUAUACACGCAGGCUUGAGGUGCCUGUGGGAGCAAUCCUGUGAGGGUUCAAGUCCCUCUCCGCCCACCA